rnacentral:rRNA from 1 species
AUUGAACGCUGGCGGCAGGCCUAACACAUGCAAUUCGAACGAGUGGCGGACGGGUUAGUAAUGUCUAGGAAACUGCCUGAAGGAGGGGGAUAACUACUGGAAACGGUAGCUAAUACCGCAUACCAUCCGAUGUGCCCAGAUGGGCUUAGCUAGUUGGUGGGUUAACGGAUCACCAAGGCGACGAUACCUAGAUGGUCUGAGAGGAUGACGAGAGAAACGUGAACUGAGACACGGUGCAGACGACGACGGGAGUCACGAGUUGGGAAUAUUGUACAAUGGGCGCAAGCCUGAUGCAUCCAUGCCGCGUGUAUGAAGAAGUCUUUCGUUUUGUAAAGUACUUGUGGCUGGUCGACGUUACCUGCAGAAGAAGCACCGGGUAACUCCGUGCCAGCAGCCGCGGUAAUAC